rnacentral:rRNA from 1 species
UGGGGAAUCUUAGACAAUGGGCGCAAGCCUGAUCUAGCCAUGCCGCGUGAGUGAUGAAGGCCUUAGGGUCGUAAAGCUCUUUCGCCAGAGAUGAUAAUGACAGUAUCUGGUAAAGAAACCCCGGCUAACUCCGUGCCAGCAGCCGCGGUAAUACGGAGGGGGUUAGCGUUGUUCGGAAUUACUGGGCGUAAAGCGUACGUAGGCGGAUUAGUAAGUUAGAGGUGAAAUCCCGGGGCUCAACCCCGGAACUGCCUUUAAUACUGCUAGUCUUGAGUUCGAGAGAGGUGAGUGGAAUUCCAAGUGUAGAGGUGAAAUUCGUAGAUAUUUGGAGGAACACCAGUGGCGAAGGCGGCUCACUGGCUCGAUACUGACGCUGAGGUACGAAAGUGUGGGGAGCAAACAGGAUUAGAUACCCUGGUAGUCCACACCGUAAACGAUGAAUGCCAGUCGUCGGGUAGCAUGCUGCUCGGUGACACACCUAACGGAUUAAGCAUUCCGCCUGGGGAGUACGGUCGCAAGAUUAAA